AGCAGCCGCGGUAAUUCCAGCUCCAAUAGCGUAUAUUAAAGUUGUUGCAGUUAAAAAGCUCGUAGUUGAAUUUCGGGAUUAGUAGGUUGGUCGUGCCUCUGGUAUGUACUCGCCUUACUGGUUCCUCCUUCUUGAAGAACUGUAAUGCCAUUAAUUUGGUGUUGCAGGGAAACAGGACUGUUACUUUGAAAAAUUAGAGUGUUUAAAGCAGGCCAAUGCCUGAAUACAUUAGCAUGGAAUAAUGAAAUAGGACGUUGAUCCUAUUUUGUUGGUUUCUAGGAUUGACGUAAUGAUUAAUAGGGAUAGUUGGGGGCAUUAGUAUUCAAUUGUCAGAGGUGAAAUUCUUGGAUUUAUUGAAGACUAACUACUGCGAAAGCAUUUGCCAAGGAUGUUUUCAUUAAUCAAGAACGAAAGUUAGGGGAUCGAAGACGAUCAGAUACCGUCGUAGUCUUAACCAUAAACUAUGCCG
rnacentral:rRNA from 1 species